GUGCGGGGAAACUGACAGCAGGUUCUGUCACUCCACUGACGGCCAGGGUUGCUUUGAUUGACUUGGCUGGCUUGACAGGUAUCUUUUUCUUCUCUUGCUGCUCCAUGUGUGUCCCUCCUGAGACCAGCAGAUGAUCUUCCCCAGCAGGGGAGGACAUUUCUCCAGUCAAGGGUAAAGCAGACACUGUACUUCCCUGCUAGAACUUCUAAAGCAAGCUCCGAAGAGCAGGAGAGUAAGGGUUCUAGGGUGUGCUAUGGAGUUUGAGAGAUGGGGCGGUUCUAGGUCACUCU
rnacentral:snRNA from 1 species